AAUCAUAGCCUCCAGGGCCUCUGGUCCCCCUCACCCUGUGCCUUCGUGGAAGGGAGGCCUGAGAGCUGUCCCCGGUCACCGGGGCCCCUGCCCUGACGCCAGGGGUCAGCCUCUCAAGGUUAGGGUCUGUCUCCUUCCCUCCCUCCCUUCAGCUUCGCACGUAAAGGGCACCCAGCUGCAGGACCUGCCUGUGUCCUCCGAGGCACUGUCGGCCUGCGGGCUUGUGGCGGGGCCUCCGGGUGAGGCUCGAGGAGUGGAGCUGGGCCGGAUCGAUCCCUUCGUUUGGAUGGAAAAGAACCUAAAAUUUCUCAAUAAGGUUUCUAUUGAUUAGACGGUGGAAUGACCGUAUUUGGGGCAUGCUCAUGGGUUAAAUUCACUUGUUUGUUUUUCCUUUUUUGGGGGGCCGCAUUCGAGAGACUUGGAAGGUCCCUGGGCCAGGGAUUGAAUCAGAGCCGCAUGGGCGACCUACGCCACAGCUGAGGUAACACGGGACCCUUAACCCACUGCAGCACAGCGGGAACUCCCUGCUGCACGUCUCUGAGCCACACUGUCUUCCUUGAGGAGGCGCUGCUGAGGGUGACGGAGACCCCCCUACUGGAGGUGCCACUGAGGUGUGGCAGGGAGGGGGCAUCCAUCCGUCUGUCCCCAGGCCUCGGACCCUGGUGCCUGAGAGACACAGAUGCUGCAAGACUCCAUCUCCAGCACCACCACUGCUGCGCUCAGACCCUGGGGCUCUGUCAGGAGUCUGCCCUGCACGGCUUUUAUCAAAACAUCCAAAACUAGGCCAGAGACAAGGCCAGGGAACCUGCAGCCCUCGGGCCACUCCAGGCCGCCUACCAGGUUCCGGCAGAGCUGCCGGGCGGGACGUGGACCCCGCGGGCACUUUCGAGCCUGUGCACCCCAGCGUCCCUUCUGCUGCCGAAAGAGUUCUCCACAGAGCGCUGCUGGAGUCCGGGAGCCUGGAGUCCGUGAACCUGGACGAGAAAACAGUCACAUCCAGAUCAGCACCGACUAAAUUCAGCAUCGCCCUGCCUUGUGAAUGUGAGCAGCAAAACCCAGUGAGGUCUGUGGUUUUGCCACCAACGUUAUCAACCACAAACCCUACUGGGUUUCCGAACAUCCUACCUUUAUUGCAGAAAUUUCAGGAUGGCAUUUGGACUCAAAUCACGGUAGUUCUUAAAUCCACCACUAGGUAUUCUUUUAAAUGUGCUAAGAAGAAGUUGGAGUUCCCUGGUGGCCUAGCUGGUUAGGGAUCCUGCAUUAUCACUGCUGUAGCUGGGUUAGAUUCCUGGCCUGGGAGUGUCUGCAGGCUGCUGGCCAAAAAAAAAGAAGAAGAAGGAGAAAAGGAAGAGGAAGAGGAAGAAAAGAAGAAGAGGCAUGUAUAUUAAACAAUAGUUUGACAAAUUUCAGUGCAUUUGGCUUCCUUUAUAAUCCUACGUAUUUUGCUAUUUUGCAUUGUGCAUUUAAAAACAUGAUCCUGAGAAGGGGUGUCAAAAGCCUAGUUAAUUUUUUUUUUUUUUUUUUUUGGCUGUGCCCAAGGCAGGUGGAAGUUCCCCGGCCAGGGACUGAAUCUGAGCCACGACAGUGACCCAAGCCACCGCAGUGAAAAUGCUGGAUCCUUAACCUGCUGCACCACAAGAACACUCAAAAGCCUAGUUGAGGUAAUGCCAGGGAGCUGAUAUUCUGGAGCGCUGGCAGUCAUUUUGUGACUCUGAGGGUAAAGCUGACUCAGUGAGAAGGGCAGACUGAGGAGUGGGGGAAGUUCCAGGGUCCUUUCCCAGCUAUGACCAGAAUUAACCAACCGGGGAAAGUCCCCUCUUCUGGGCUUAUUUCUUGCUGUAACACAUGGCCUCGUUGUUUAGCCAGUUGAGUCAGGGGUUUCUGUUUUGGGCCCUGAAGACUGCAUGCCUGAAAGAUGGUGUUUCCAGAGGGGUCCGGGAAUGGCCUAGAGAAAGACAGGUGAGACUAGAAUUCUGCUGGCCUGGACAGAGGCGUUGCGUGAAUUAGGAAGGAUGCUCCCCUGGCUGGGGCUAGCCUUUUGGCACAAAGAAAAGCCUCCGGUCUGGGAGUUCUUGUUGCGGCUCAGCAGGUUAAGAACCAGAUGAGUAUCCAUGAGGAUGCGGAUUUGAUCCCUGGCCUCACUCAGUGGGUUAAGAAUCCAGCGUUGUCACAAGCUGUGGUAUAGGUCUCAGAUGUGGCUCAUAUCCUGCGUUGCUGUGGCUGUGGUGUAGGCCGGCAGCUACAGCUCCA
rnacentral:lncRNA from 1 species